CAAAAAAUAGUUUAUUUAAAAUAUUAAUUUUGGAGAUUAAUGAUAGAAUAAUUUUUCUUUUUUUGA
rnacentral:tRNA from 1 species